rnacentral:rRNA from 1 species
UGGGGAAUCUUGGACAAUGGGGGCAACCCUGAUCCAGCCAUGCCGCGUGGACGAUGAAGGCCCUAGGGUUGUAAAGUCCUUUCACCGGUGAAGAUAAUGACGGUAGCAGGUAAAGAAACCCCGGCUAACUCCGUGCCAGCAGCCGCGGUAAUACGGAGGGGGUUAGCGUUGUUCGGAAUUACUGGGCGUAAAGCGCACGUAGGCGGACCAGAAAGUUGGGGGUGAAAUCCCGGGGGCUCAACCCCGGAACUGCCUCCAAAACUAUUGGUCUAGAGUUCGAGAGAGGUGAGUGGAAUUCCAAGUGUAGAGGUGAAAUUCGUAGAUAUUUGGAGGAACACCAGUGGCGAAGGCGGCUCACUGGCUCGAUACUGACGCUGAGGUGCGAAAGUGUGGGGAGCAAACAGGAUUAGAUACCCUGGUAGUCCACACCGUAAAACGAUGAAUGCCAGUCGUCGGGUAGCAUGCUAUUCGGUGACACACCUAACGGAUUAAGCAUUCCGCCUGGGGAGUACGGUCGCAAGAUUAAAACUCAAAAGGAAUU